rnacentral:lncRNA from 1 species
CUAAAACUUAGUUAGAAAAUUCAAUUCAAAUUAUAACAUUAUAAUUAAUCAAACUUUUAGCUUCCUCUAAAACUCAUAAUGAAAAUUCAAUCCGACUCAAAAUGAGAUGUACGGCGACAAAUUUUAACCAUUAUAUACUCCUAAGAAGAUUCGAACUUUCUUCCGAUACAACAGAUUGAUUGUAUGAUUGAUUGACUGUGAUAAAUAUUAUGAUUGAAAGUGUAUAGUAAACAUUCUAAAACGUGGUGUAUAUUCAACUUCUCAUACUGUGGAUUCAU